CAGCCGCCGCGGUAAUACAGAGGAUGCAAGCGUUAUCCGGAAUCACUGGGCAUAAAGCGUCUGUAGGUUGCCUACCAAGUCUGCUGUUAAAGAUCAGGGCCUAACCCUGGGAAAGCAGUGGAAACUAGUAGGCUUGAGUGUGGUAGAGGUAGAGGGAAUUCCUGGUGUAGCGGUGAAAUGCGUAGAUAUUAGGAAGAACACCAAUGGCGAAAGCACUCUACUGGGCCAUAACUGACACUGAGAGACGACAGCUAGGGGAGCAAAUGGGAUUAGAUACCCCAGUAGUCCUAGCCGUAAACGAUGGAUACUAGGUGUUGCACGUAUUAACCCGUGCAGUAUCGUAGCUAAGGCGUUAAGUAUCCCGCCUGGGAAGUACGCUCGCAAGAGUGAAACUUAAAUGAAUUGACGG
rnacentral:rRNA from 1 species